rnacentral:rRNA from 1 species
CCUACGGGGGGCAGCAGUGGGGAAUAUUGGACAAUGGGGGGAACCCUGAUCCAGCGACGCCGCGUGAGUGAAGAAGUAUUUCGGUAUGUAAAGCUCUAUCAGCAGGGAAGAAAAUGACGGUACCUGACUAAGAAGCCCCGGCUAACUACGUGCCAGCAGCCGCGGUAAUACGUAGGGGGCAAGCGUUAUCCGGAUUUACUGGGUGUAAAGGGAGCGUAGACGGCAGCACAAGUCUGGAGUGAAAUGCCGGGGCUUAACCCCGGAACUGCUUUGGAAACUGUGCAGCUAGAGUGCAGGAGAGGUAAGUGGAAUUCCUAGUGUAGCGGUGAAAUGCGUAGAUAUUAGGAGGAACACCAGUGGCGAAGGCGGCUUACUGGACUGUAACUGACGUUGAGGCUCGAAAGCGUGGGGAGCAAACAGGAUUAGAUACCCGUGUAGUC